CUUGGUUUGUAGGUAUUUGUUUCCUUAUUAUGCUGAACAACCUGCAUACAAUGUUCUGUUUAUUUUCCACUGCUUCCUCCCCACUUUUUCUUCCUCUGUCUUUCUUUCCAGGGUCUCCCUUGAAUGCCAGGCAGGGCUUGAGCUGGGAUUACAGACAGGCACACCCUGGGAACUGAUUUCAUGCAUCCGUGUACCCUCUGUUACCUAAGCGGCAUUUCAGGGUGCUUUCUCACACCUGUCCUUCAGAGCUUACAUUUCCAGCCUUCAGCUCUGAUCUCUGAGCCGCCCUGUAAAACUCCAUCAUAGUUUAGGGUGUUUAGUAAAUAAGUCUUCCUGCUCCCUCUUCCAGCUGUUGGCUUUGCCAAGAAGAGGUAUGCAAAGGACAGACCGUGCUGUAUGGUCUCGGGGGCUCCAUCUUCAGAGUCCAUAUACGUCAGCUAGUUAACGAAGCCAGCCUUCCCACUCCAGCAGCUAGGGUCUUAGCAACCAGAAUAGGAGACUGGAGUCCAUGUGGAUGGAUACAUAUCCAUCUAUCUGCUAUCUGGGGUACAGGAAAGGGAGGCUGGAGGAUCUUGAAUUCCAGAUCAGUUUGGGCUACCUAAGGAGACCAAAGCCUUGGGGAGGAAAAACCAGAGAGAGUAAGCUGAGCUUCAGUUUCCCAACCUUUGGAGAUGCUGGAGAUAGGCUUUGUUGCUUUCGUUUUUUAAUGUGCUCUGAUUGUUUGUGUCUCACAUCGCGAUACUAAUAAUUAUUAAAAAUAAUUAUAAAUUCCUGACAGAAACUUUACCUACUCAAAACAAUGGGCAAAAAUCCUCAUAGGGGCUGGGGUGGGGUGGGGGACAUCAUUUUUCUGUAUUUUCAGCUUAGAAGGCGUCUCUGUUUAUAACAUUCUUUUUCUGAAGCCACGUACAUACUCUUGGCAGCUGCUAUUCAUAGCCUGCUUGUUUUCGUGGCUGUUGCUACGUUGUCAGGUGGCGACCCAGAGUUUACCAGAGUCUUUUGGGUCUUUUUUUUUAAACCCCCCACAGGGAGUGAAAGGUUUGAUUUUUUUUUUCUCCACAGGACACAAUCUUGAUGCCCGAUUUAGAUCCUGGUGGACACACCCAGGCCGAGAGCUUCUCAGGGCUGGAGGAUGUGAUUAUUGUUGCAGAGUGAGCUGUGACCCCUUAGGGAUGUUAGCCGUGGCACCAGGCUGGCAGCGGCUUGCAGGUCCGGUGGGUAUACCGCAGCCUGCUCCUGGGGAUAGGCAUUUGCUCCAGCCUAGGUCACCACAUCAUUUCCUCCCAAUAAUGGAGGUUUUUAUCAUCUGGAGAUGGAGACUAAGGAUACUUUUAUUGAGUCAACUUCCUUCGAAGUUUCUAAGCCGUAGUUGGGAUUAUGACAUAAUUGUUUUACAUGUUGACACCACCUUUUAUCGUAAUCGCUUUGCAUUGUUUUUUGAUAAAGGGAUAAAAAUAAUAGGCGACAUUUGAGAAAGCGGAGGGAAUUUUUGUUCUUUUAUUCAUGAUACUAAAAAUUACCCAAAAUAAGAUAUUUUACAAAAAAGGGAUUUUGUUCCAAAAGUGACUAAUUUAAAUCAGUUUAUACAAUGAACUUGCUAAUGAUCCGCAGUCUCGAAGAGCUUAAUGCCUUUAUACUGUUAUCAUUUUUUAUGAAUAGAAUUAUACAAAAAAGUUCCUAUUGUAUUGUACAGUGAGUUUCACACAACCAUCCUUUAUCAACAGAUGGCAACCAGCACAUGAAAAAUAAUUAAAAAAUAAAAUGAAAAGAAACCAAGAAUGAAUUAAAGUGCUUCUUUGCGUUCUGAUCUGCAUUUUUGGUUUAGAAUUUUUAUGGUGAAUUGCCAUAUUAUCUGUUAUAUCAGUUUACAAUGAGGCUCCUAUCAGACAUAAAACAGAUUUAUAACACCAUUAAAAUACAAUAUCAAAGAAUGAAUAAGCAAUUCAAUAAAAUUACAAUAACACGAAGAUAAAACGAAAGCCUUUUCAAUAACAGUUUUAUGCAAGAACAUUUUGCAGAUAAAUAUGUGUUUAUAGAUCUUUUAAAUGUACAUUUAUUAUAGUGUUCCUAAUAGAGCCACAGGGGUUAAUUUUUCCUGUGUGUUGUCUUUUAUAAGUGGUUUAAAAGCUAGCUGCAAAACUCUUCAAUAGAUUGUUUUGAGUCUUCGAAUUGAUUUUGGUAAAGGGAGCUUUUACAGUCCUUCAGCCCAAUGUUCACACACAAACCAGUCAAUAUGGCCGGGCCCCCUUGCUCAAUGGGUGCCUGGAGGCUUCCCCGUACCACCUGGGACCCAGACAUGAAAGAAACAGGGAAGGAGAAGUUUAUAAUGAUUUUUUUUUGAGUGCUCUUUUCACCUCAGAUGUUCAGGUCUGAUGUUCAGAAAAAU
rnacentral:lncRNA from 1 species